UCCAAGGUGGUCUAGUGGUUAAGACUCUGCACUCCCAAUGCAGAAGGCCCAGAUUGAAUCCCUGGUCAGGGAA
rnacentral:tRNA from 1 species